rnacentral:rRNA from 1 species
CGCUCCUUGAUUUUAAUUAAUAAGGAGUCGGACCUGCCCAGUGAUAAGUAUUUAACGGCCGCGGUACUCUGACCGUGCAAAGGUAGCAUAAUCAUUUGCCCUAUAAUUGAGGGCUAGUAUGAAUGGUUUGACAAGAACAAUACUGUCUCUUUCAAAAUUUCUAGAAUUUAUUCUUUAGGUGAAGAAACCUAAAUGAAAUUAAAAGACAAGAAGACCCUAUCGAGCUUAAACUCUUUUUAUAAAAUAAAAAAAAUUAAUAAUAUUUUUUGUUAUAAAAAAUUUUGGUUGGGGCGACUAAGGAACAAAAAAAGCUUCUUUAUUUAAUAAAGACAAAUGUGUAUUGAUCCAUAAAAUCUUGAUUAAAAGAAUUAGUUACCGUAGGGAUAACAGCAUAAUCUUUUUUAAGAGUUCUUAUCGAAAAAAAGGUUUGUGACCUCGAUGUUGGACUAAAAUUUCCUAAUAGAUGCAGACGUCUUUAAGGG